CGCGAAUUCGCCCUUCGGGGUGCAGCAGGCGCGAAACCUUUGCCAUGCGCGAAAGCGUGACAGGGGAAUUCCGAGUGGUAGGGGGGUUUACCUCCCUAUCUUUUGGCCAAUCCAAACAAUUGGCAGAAUAAGAUCUGGGUAAGACCAGUGCCAGCCGCCGCGGUAAUACUGGCAGAGCAAGUGGUAUCCACGAAUAUUGGGUCUAAAGAGUCCGUAGCGGGCCUGUUAAGUCCACUGUGAAAUCUGGCGGCUCAACCGUCAGGCGUGCAGUGGAUACUGGCAGGCUUGGGAGUGGGGGAGGUCGGGAGUACUCACGGGGUAACGGUAAAAUGUUGUAACCCUGUGAGGACUACCAGUGGCGAAGGCGCCCGACCAAAACACGUCCGACCGUGAGGGACGAAGGCUAGGAGAACGAAUCGGAUUAGAUACCCGAGUAGCCCUAGCAGUAAAUUAUGCAGACUGUGGUGUUGCGUCGACUUCGAGUCGGCGCAGUGCUGUAGCGUAGGUGUUAAGUCUGCCACCUGGGGAGUACGGCCGCAAGGUUGAAACUUAAAGGAAUUGGCGGGGGAGCAC
rnacentral:rRNA from 1 species